ACUCAAAUGAAUAGACGGGGGCUCACACAAGCGGUGGAGCAUGUGGCUUAAUUCGAGGCUACGCGAAGAACCUUAUCCCGGACUUGACAUGUGCGAAAGCGCUGGGAGGUAGGACCCGGAAACGGGAACGAACGGUAUCCAAUCCGGAACCCAGCACAGGUGCUGCAUGGCUGUCGUCAGCUCGUGUCGUGAGAUGUCGGGUUAAGUCCCAUAACGAGCGAAACCCUUACCCUUAGUUGCAACCGAUGAGGGCACUCUAGGGGGACUGCCGGUGUUAAACCGGAGGAAGGUGGGGAUGACGUCAAGUCCUCAUGGCCUUUAUGUCCGGGGCUGCACACGUGCUACAAUGGCGUGAACAAAGAGACGCGAGCCCGCGAGGGGGAGCCAAUCUCAAAAAACACGCCCCAGUUCAGAUCGAAGGCUGCAACUCGCCUUCGUGAAGUCGGAAUCGCUAGUAAUCGCGGGUCAGCAACACCGCGGUGAAUGUGUUCCUGAGCCUUGCACACACCGCCCGU
rnacentral:rRNA from 1 species